rnacentral:rRNA from 1 species
GACGAACGCUGGCGGCGUGCUUAACACAUGCAAGUCAAGCGGUAAGGCCCUUUCGGGGGUACGACGAGCGGCGAACGGGUGAGUAACACGUGGGUGACCUGCCCUCAGCUCUGGGAUAAGCCUGGGAAACUGGGUCUAAUACUGGAUACGACUCCACGGUGCAUGUCGUGGGGUGGAAAGCCUUGUGCGGCUGAGGAUGGGCCCGCGGCCUAUCAGCUUGUUGGUGGGGUGAUGGCCUACCAAGGCGACGACGGGUAGCCGGCCUGAGAGGGCGUACCGGCCACACUGGGACUGAGACACGGCCCAGACUCCUACGGGAGGCAGCAGUGGGGAAUCUUGCGCAAUGGGCGAAAGCCUGACGCAGCGACGCCGCGUGAGGGAUGACGGCC